UAUAUAUAAUGUUCAUCUCGCGCAAGACGCAGAUCUUAACCUAGUUUUCUUUUACUUCCAUUUUCGAAAUCGUUGAGCAAAUGACAAUGUUUUAACUUUUAAUAAGAGAGCACAGAAGGAAAACUGACAAUGUUUUAAUACGAGCACAUAUAGGGAAAAUGACCAGAUCUUGUUUAAGAAAUCAAAUCGAUAGAAAAAACACACACAGUCGAUCAGUAGCUCAAACACAUGGACAAAGCCCU
rnacentral:lncRNA from 1 species